rnacentral:rRNA from 1 species
UCCCCUAGUAACGGCGAGUGAAGCGGGAAGAGCUCAAAUUUGAAAUCUGGCGGUCUCAGGCCGUCCGAGUUGUAAUCUAGAGAGGUGUUUUCCGUGCCGGACCGUGUACAAGUCCCUUGGAACAGGGCGUCAUAGAGGGUGAGAAUCCCGUCCAUGACACGGACUACCGGUGCUCUGUGAUACACCUUCAAAGAGUCGAGUUGUUUGGGAAUGCAGCUCAAAAUGGGUGGUAAAUUCCAUCUAAAGCUAAAUACAGGCGAGAGACCGAUAGCGAACAAGUACCGUGAGGGAAAGAUGAAAAGAACUUUGGAAAGAGAGUUAAACAGUACGUGAAAUUGUUGAAAGGGAAACGCUUGAAGUCAGUCGCGUCUGCCAGGACUCAGCCUUGCUUCUGCUUGGUGCACUUCUUGGUGGAUGGGCCAGCAUCGAUUUUGGCCGCCGGAAAAGGGCGGGAGGAAUGUGGCAGCUUUUGCUGUGUUAUAGCCUUCCGUCGUACACGGUGGUCGGGAUCGAGGACUGCAGCACGCCUUUGGUCGGGGUUCGCCCACGCCACGUGCUUAGGAUGCUGGCGUAAUGGCUUUAAACGACCCGUCUUGAAACACGGACCAAGGAGUCUAACAUGCCUGCGAGUGUUUGGGUGCAAAACCCAGGCGCGUAAUGAAAGUGAAAAGUUGGGACUCUUCAGUGAGGCACCGACGCCCGACCCUGAAGUCUUCUGACGGGUUUGAGGCAGAGCAUGUAUGUUGGGACCCGAAAGAUGGUGAACUAUGCCUGAAUAGGGUGAAGCCAGAGGAAACUCUGGUGGAGGCUCGUAGCGAUUCUGACGUGCAAAUCGAUCGUCAAAUUUGGGUAUAGGGGCGAAAGACUA